AGAAUAGUUACAAAGCAUACCACCUAUAAGGGACUGCAGACUUAUUGAAAGUUCAAUCAAAAUGUUUUAUAUUAAGAUGACAAUCUUUGUAAGACACGGUACUGUCAAUUACGUAUGAUCCAAAUAUCAAAUUUUGUAUCCAAUGUCAUUCAACGUCAAUUCAGUUUAUCAACUUUCGAACCACAUAAUCUAAAUAUCAAGU
rnacentral:lncRNA from 1 species